rnacentral:rRNA from 1 species
CCCUUAGAUGUCCUGGGCUGCACGCGCGCUACACUGAUGUGUCCAGUAAGCACCUAACCUAUUCCGAGAGGAGCGGGUAACCUUAGCAAAGCACAUCGUGAUGGGGAUAGAUUAUUGCAAUUAUUAGUCUUGAACGAGGAAUUCCUAGUAAGCACAAGUCAUCAGCUUGUGUUGAUUACGUCCCUGCCCUUUGUACACACCGCCCGUCGCUCCUACCGGUUGAAUGUUCCGGUGAGCUCUUCGGACUGCGCGGUCUGCAGUUUCUGCGUUCCGUGCGGAAAGUUGUGCAAACCUUAACAUUUAGAGGAAGGAGAAGUCGUAACA